rnacentral:rRNA from 1 species
UACGAAGGGGGCUAGCGUUGCUCGGAAUCACUGGGCGUAAAGGGUGCGUAGGCGGGUCUUUAAGUCAGGGGUGAAAUCCUGGAGCUCAACUCCAGAACUGCCUUUGAUACUGAAGAUCUUGAGUUCGGGAGAGGUGAGUGGAACUGCGAGUGUAGAGGUGAAAUUCGUAGAUAUCCGGAGGAACACCAGUGGCGAAGGCGACUUUCUGGCCUGUUCUUGACGCUGAGGCGCGAAAGCUAGGGGAGCAAACGGG